GUCUGUCUGUCCGUCCGUCGCUCUGGCUAUAGGAGCUGUUGAGACGGCUAACGAUGCUGCUGCUUCUAGCCGUAGUGCUGAUGGAAGAGGGAGCGGCAGCGGCGGCGGCAGCGGGCGGGUGGACUGCUAUUGCGUUAGGCUGAAGCUAUGCGAACUGGCGAAUGGCGGCUGCUGUUCUCUCUGCUUCUCUAUGUCUUCUCGCCGGACUCGUGUGUGCUGACUGCUGCCCCUCGUUACCGGCUGCUACCGUCAUCUGCUGGCAACAGCAAGAACCAGGAACCGCCGCCGGGUUGCCGGCCGUAGCAAGAAUCAACAAGAAGGUUAGGACACGGCGGCUGGCAGCCGGCCCGCCACUACAGCAGCAGAAGUAGCGAUGGCGUCGGCGCGCUGGCUGCUACAGAGAGAAAACGAACGACGGGCAAAUAGGAGGGCAAGCAAAGGACGAACGAACAGCGCAGCAACGACUUUAUACUUCCGCCAUCAGCUGUGGCAGUAGCGGCAGCAGCAGCAAACAGUCAGAACAGCAGAACUGACAGCAAAAGCUCUGAUGAUACGCAAGAUUACUGUGGCGGAGUGUUGACGGCCCUCGUGUAGUCGGCAGUGGCCGUGGCGGCGAGAAGCUCGCCAGCGGCAGCGGAGGUCCUCGCCGUUAGCGGACACCGUGCCGCCAAGCAGAGCUGUCACCAAAGCCACCAUUUGAGCCGCAAACCUACAACGGCGAAGUCGGGCUUUGGUCGCCGAUGGGACGACGGCGGCAGUAGCGACGGGCCUGCACGGAGAGGAGUGCCUGCGCACGCGGUCACACGACCAAGUACACAGUCAUAUUGGGAGCAAGGCUACACACGCUGCGUACCUAAUGGAGGCUAAGACCCCAAGGCAACCUACCCGUGGACAGGGACAUAGGCCUCUGCGCACUUAGGAACUGGCACAUGGCCAUGAGUGGCCAUGCCACGCUGUGCUCAAGGAGGUGCAUGUACAUGUGACAUUUCGAUGUUGCCAACGUUCACUUAAGCAAACAGACGGGACAAACACAGAAAAAAGAGAGACAAGAUGGGAAGUACACAGCAGCGGGUUACGGCGGGCCCCACUGGGCACCCCUUACGCCCUGUAUAUUUCUGCAUGAGUCUAUGUACUCGACCAAGUAUGAGUGUGAGUUUACGUGUGAAUGGACCGUGCUGACUAAGCGUAGCCUUCGGUUCGGUCGUCUCUGACUGGAUGUAUGGCUUAGUGUGUGUACAUGAAUGCAUGUGUGUAGAUAGAAGACGAGGGGGAUGUGCCAGUAGCAAUUAGAACUAACAGCACUGGGCCGCUGUGGUCGCAUGGUUGCAGCUGCUGUUAUUGAUGCUGCUAUCACGGUGUAAGUUCCCGAAUCCCUCAUCCUUUCUCUUAUUGGGCUCCCGUCGCCUUGCCCUCAGUCACUUCCAACGUUCGCUUGGCACUCUCACAGGGACGUUUCUCUGGAACAGCAAAUAACUGCCUAACGCAAUUGGACUGGAUCUCUACGUCUUUACGGUUUUUUUUUCUCACACGAGUCCUUGCUAAUGAAUUCUGGGAUUAAUGACGAAGCAUCUUUCCCCGGCAAUACCUCCUCUCUGGCAAGCGUACGCAUCCCCCUAAACCUCCAGCACCCCUAUGGCGAGCCUGAACCUACUGCAUCAUCAACCAUAGCCACACAAUGCCUGUCGAUGGCGGAAAUAGCAAAGAAGCAGCACUACUAAUCCGGUACUAGCCACAGUAGAACGGUACAACUCCAGGUAAGCAUCUGGACAGCCUGCAAAUCAAGUGCACAGGGAGGGAAGGCACUAGCUAUAGGCAACAAAGGAAAAGUCAGGGCGUUGCUUAGUAAACUACCAAACAAGCUCAGUUGCCGCCACUUCACUCACUGGCGAGAGGCACUCGUUUGGCAAGUCCACUGCAUGCUCCUACAUAUUGUCAUUGCAGCAUCCACACAUAUAAGCACGCGUCAGCAGGGUCUAAGUGUACAGAAGACCGUGCAUUUCUCGCGUGCUGCUAUGGCCGUUGUCGCGAAACCUCCCUAAAGGAUUGUCCGCUGUGUCAUGGAGCAAAACAGACCAGCCAUACAAUGACAUUGUGGCCUGUAAACCGUUGAUAUCUCCCUAGUUGAAUCACCGGUGCGCUAUCAUCGUAACAGUAGCAGUAACAGCAGCGAGUGUUGCUGUCGCAGCUGACGCUUCAGUGAAUGAAGAACGCAGAAUGAAUUAACGCGCUAAAGAAUUCGCCCCUAUGAUGAUACUUGUGAGGAGAAAAGGAAAACGAACCAGAGAUGAAUGAACUAGUUGUGCGUUGACGUAUCCGAAGAAGCUGAUGCUUCUCAGACACAUCACCCUCGGAAGUGCCUCAGGCUGUAGUAAGUGUGCUUGCUUUGGAUUUGUAUUGGUAGAUGGUGUACAUAUUCAAGAUUGUUUCAAGUAAUGAAAAAUGUGUCGCGAAAUGAUCGUACGAUGCCUUAGUAAGCUAGGUAUUUAUCCCUGCUUCGAAUUAUCCUUGUUAUCGCGUUACAGGUAGGAGACAUAACAAUAAACAGCCAGAUGCUAUAUGUCAACCUGGGACUGGCAAUCAAGUACACUUUAUAAUAUAUUAAGCUGGAGUAAAAAUCUGUCUCAUUGUGAAAGAAUGUGAGAAAAAUAUGGCGCAAGAUAUGGCUCGAAUUGUCAGUCGCUACUUCACGUUAGACUACGAAGUAAAACCAUGUGCAAUGUUUUGUUAUCCAUCUGACCAAAGCUCAUUAAGGAAGAUUAUUCAAUCUCUAUGGAUGCACUUUCACAGAAACAAAGUGCUCCAUCAUGAUGCGCAGAAGGCCUCCCUAAAAUCUAAAAAAUCCAAAAAUCUAGUCUUACAUGGUGGACGCUCCAGUGGUUUUGAUCUUCCUGAUUCCUCUUUGCAAGUAGCUCCUCUAAAUCAUCGAUCAAUUUUAGAGAUUUAGAGGAUCGGCCAAUAGUUUCUCCUCUCAUAUGUAGACUUGUACGAAACUCUCCGAUAACAUUCAUAAAAUGAUGGUUUCUCGCCACUUAUAUCCAUAUUCGUGUCUGUACUCACAGCUAUAUUAUACGUAUUUUUUUUCCUGGGACUCACAAUUUGUUCCCUCGUUUUUUAAUGAACCCAACGCCAUUAUUAUAUCCUACAGUAAAACUACGCUACCGCUAAAUGGGAGGAGGAUGGAAACAAUUAGAAAUCUCCGAUACAGAAAGUCACGUUACUUUUUAGUGUUUAAUUCACCGGAGCGGGCAUGGAAUUAACUACUUUAGUUGCUGUUUCAGAAAAGAUGACGCCAGACGUAAAGGGUAGCAAGUACAUGAAGAACUGAUACCUUACUAAGCGGUGUACAUAAGUUGAGUCAACGCAAUCUAUCUUCGUUUUUCAGUAACUUUUAUUGACACUUCUCAUAUAGCACCUUUGUCUUAGCUGUAGGCAUAUAUAAGUUGAAGACGAAACAAUCUUUGCAUUGACCUACAUAUGCCUAUCUACACGUCAGCCGAAUUGCUUAUACGAAACUAGGUUUCAGUUUGCGUGGAGAUUGGAAACCUGUUACUAACUGGAUAAACACCGCGUACUUUAAACGUGCUCAACAAGCUGAGAGAUAGUGGCCCAAAUAAACCGAGAAGAAUGCAUUUCUAAUUGUAAAAACGUACAUGUGCAGAAAAACACAUGAACAAAUGUUAACAUAGUAACUGUAGCGUGCACGUUCGAAAUAAAAAAAAAUUUAUUUGAUCAUUUCAGAAUUCAGACCAUUACUACUUACAAUAUUUUGUUUAUUGUAAAUGUAAGAUUUACUGAAUUAAGACGAGGGGCCCAACAAUUUAGGUUUGAAUUAAAAACAGACUACAUUCUGAACCAUAUGCGUCGCAUGUUCAGCUGAUAAAUGUUUACUUACGGAUGACCAUGCAGGUAAAAAAAUGCUGAGCGAAGUCCCACACUACCGUGGAAAAUACGUAGAUGUGAGGCCAUAAACAGAAUCCGCGCAUUUUUCUCCUGAGAAAGACAGGUUUGACUAAAUACGCACAUUUCUAGGUGUAGUUGAAUUUGAUGUAAUGCGCAUAGACUCGCAGAUAAACUACCGAUUCCGAGAAUCCAUGAGUGCAAACAUGCAUUAUAUUUUGAAUAGUUGUAUAUAAAGGUGCUUGUUGUUAUUGGAAACGGUCUAUUAAUGAGAUAUUUAAAGUAAUUCAGAUGCAAACUGUAAGACCUCAGUAUGCUUGUACGGUUCAAAGAAAGCUCGAGGUUCUGGUGAGCACCAUUGCUACUUCUUGAAUAUCUAUUGAUAAAACGGCUUCCUUAAUUAAAUUAUGCGAUUGCACAGUAAAAAAUAUUCGACGAUAAGUUUAAUCACAUAUUGUGCUAUGACAAAUCUACAGAACGAAACAGUAAUUGCGACAAGCUUUGCUUGGCUGUUUGUCGUAGCGGGCAAACGUUUUUCUUGGUAAUAGAACAGAGCCAAUUUCUACAAAAACAACAUGUUCAUCGUGAAGAAAAAUUGUUUCCUUAUCAGCUUAUCGACUAUCAUCCAGUCUACUUUCCGCGCUGGACGAUUCUCCGCCAGAACUAAAAACCGAAAAACUCCAAACCGUUUUUACUUAAAUAUAUAAUGAAUAUUGGAGUUAGAUUUAUAGAUAUACCUAGUCAGACUGAGGCUUAAGGCAACGUCUAUGAGUCUGGACAAUGUGAUACCGCUGGUAUUGAAAUGCUUUUGAGUAUUCUACAACCAGUCACAUAGCACUUUGUAGUAUUAGAUUUCAGUUUCCUUUUACUUAUAUAAUAACAUGUUCUUUCUGAUUUUUUUCAAGCAAUGACAUGAAACGCUAAGGAGGACGUCAUUCACUAGAAGUCCUGCAUAUAGUCUAGACAUGUUUUCUUCGACACGAAAUUGGUUUAAUUUGAAAAUCCAUCAAUGCGUUCUGUUUGAAAUUAAAUCACUUCCAAACUAAAAGAAGUAAUCUCUAAGUUAGAUCGUUUCAAACCAAAUUGGGCAAAGCUUUUUAAUUAGUGUAGACAGUUCUCGUAUCAAAUUGGACUUUUUGGGCUUUAUAAUUCGGUUGUGAGAUAUCGGAUGUAGUUCAUCUCAGCAGCAUCAACUUUUUGGGAAUAAUAAGUCUUCUAACUAGACUUGAAGCUUAAAAUAAGAAGAGCAAAAAUUGAAGAACCCAUGCCUUUCUUUCAUUUGGUCGACUGAGUUACUUUCAGUAUAUACUUUUGCUCUUAACCUUGAUUGUUUAAGACACCUUCUAAACAUAUAUAUAAAUAUAUAUAAUGUCGACAUAAAGGAUUAAUUCAGAAUCUUCACUGGUAGGUUAGCAUAAAUACGGCACAGAAAAUGGACCGAAAUUAUAAUCUAUCAAAGCCAUUUGGACCCAAGAAAUCGUUUGCACUAGUCAGGCAUCGUUCGCAACAUGACAAAAAAAAAGACUUCUCACCUGUUACUAUUGGUCUUCAAUUCUUCAUAACAAAACAAAAUGGUUCGUCUGAACCAUUAAAAACAACUAUCACAGCAAUAAAAAGUAAGUUAAUAAAAACUCAGCAAAAGUCUGCAACUCGAUGACGGCUUUUGUCUCAAACACGCUACUUUAGAAUAAGCAAAAUGCCCAAAUGAAGUCAUGAAACAAAGAUAAUAUAGAGUCUUCGUAAUAACAUUCAUAUUUUAUUUUCGGUUAUUUUCAUUGGCGCGGUACGGUAUAUAAGUCAAUACGGGCAAGGCUAGCAACUUAUUAAACCCCUAGUAUUGCUUCGUUCACAGGCUCAGUCAAUCAGCGUAGAUGCCCAUCGAUACCUUUCGUUUUCGUUUUUCCGAAUACAGUUUCAAUGCCGUUAUCGUAGUCAAACUACGCCUUAGGUGCGUUGCCACGGUAACCAUGAUCAUGUGGCCAGAGCUGGUUCAAAUCUUGGCAUUUCCGUAUUUAGUAAGUUCGAUGGAGAAAAAAUCGAUGGAGAAAGGAACAACAAGACAAGUCUCAAGUUAUGUCUAAUAGCUUGAGUACUAAUUAUAAAAAAGGCCGUGAUCGGUGCUAGAUGUAUCUAGUAGACACGUUCAAGUUUAAGUGAUCAAUCUGAAGUCUUUGAGCGGCAUGAGCAACCAUUAAAGGCAACUGGGUCAGUCAGCUCAUGUGAAGUGCGUCUAACAGUUAUACGUACAAAAUGUACGAUAUUUAAUUAGUUAGAACGGAAGUUAGUAAAUUAGAACGGAAAGAAUAUAAUUCAUUAAUAAGGCCGCCUGAUCCUACUGAAAUUAUCGUUCCAGUUCAGCAUUUACUUGGAAGACGAACGAGCGGUAAGUAAGUUUUCUAACGUAAAGUUGACUCACCAUCUUCGGAAUGAUUUUUCGGAGGUUCCAGUAAUGAGGGUCUUGAGCUGCAAAGACCCUUAUCAAGACACACACUUAGGAAACUCAUCUGUUUCAUAAAUGUUUCAGUAAAAA